rnacentral:sRNA from 1 species
UUGCGUUGAUCCAACAGCGUACGCGCAGAA